ACAAGUGCAUGUGGUGGAUGCCUUGGCGAUCACAGGCGAUGAAGGACGCGGUAGCCUGCGAAAAGCUACGGGGAGCUGGCAAACGAGCUUUGAUCCGUAGAUGUCCGAAUGGGGAAACCCACUCCUUUUGGAGUAUCCAUAGCUGAAUACAUAGGCUAUGUGAAGCGAACGCGGU
rnacentral:rRNA from 1 species